GAAAGGAGACAACCCCUUCAAAACUUGUAGAGCUACUGCAUGUUCCAGGUCCUAAACGAAGAACAAUCGCAUCACACAAAUCCAAGUACUCUGUUCUUUCUCUUACUAAUCAAAUGGAGGAGUUGGCAGGUUGCAUCGAACCUUUGUUCAUACUUCAAGGUCAUCUGGGCGCUUUAUUCAAUAACCUUAAGCUUGUGCACAACCUG
rnacentral:lncRNA from 1 species